rnacentral:lncRNA from 1 species
GACAAGCUAAAAAACUGCCGUGCGAUCGGAGUUUGUAUGAUACGCGCUAGCCAGUUGAAAUGCUUCAUGUAUUGGAAAAGACAAAUUCCUCAAUGAGCAAAAGAUGGACUGGCAAUAGCAGCUUUUUAUUUUUAAAAAAUCAUUUCAUUUUUGGAAACUUAUUUCGGAACUUUUUUGAAAGUGCUUUCGCUUUUCCUACAUUAUGGAUC